CAAAAUUGAACUGACUAAUUGCUACUGAAGUAGACCAUAAAUACAUAAUAUAACAUUUUGCUCCUAAAAAUUAUGACCGUUUCUGGAAGUUCUCUACGCACCAGCAACAUAGCAAUCUAAAAGUUCAAGUAUAAGUAUGUGGCAGAGAGGUCAAGGAAAAGGAGAAACCUAUUGCGCCAAAUGCAUUGACUUCAUAGCAAAGCCAGGUGUACACUUUGCUAAGAUGCAGCACAAACUUUGUGAUUGAAG
rnacentral:misc_RNA from 1 species